rnacentral:rRNA from 1 species
UACGUAGGGUGCGAGCGUUGUCCGGAAUUAUUGGGCGUAAAGAGCUUGUAGGUGGUUUGUCGCGUCUGCUGUGAAAAUCCGAGGCUCAACCUCGGACUUGCAGUGGGUACGGGCAGACUAGAGUGUGGUAGGGGAGACUGGAAUUCCUGGUGUAGCGGUGGAAUGCGCAGAUAUCAGGAGGAACACCGGUGGCGAAGGCAGGUCUCUGGGCCAUUACUGACACUGAGAAGCGAAAGCAUGGGGGAGCGAACAGG